UGGGGAAUAUUGCACAAUGGGGGAAACCCUGAUGCAGCAACGCCGCGUGGAGGAUGACACUUUUCGGAGCGUAAACUCCUUUUAUAUCCCAAGAUAAUGACGGUAGGAUAUGAAUAAGCACCGGCUAACUCCGUGCCAGCAGCCGCGGUAAUACGGGGGGUGCAAGCGUUACUCGGAAUCACUGGGCGUAAAGAGCGUGUAGGCGGGUUUGUAAGUUGGAAGUGAAAUCCUGUGGCUCAACCAUAGAACUGCUUCCAAAACUACUUACCUAGAAUAUGGGAGAGGUAGAUGGAAUUUCUGGUGUAGGGGUAAAAUCCGUAGAGAUCAGAAGGAAUACCGAUUGCGAAGGCGAUCUACUGGAACAUUAUUGACGCUGAGACGCGAAAGCGUGGGGAGCAAACAGGAUUAGAUACCCU
rnacentral:rRNA from 1 species